rnacentral:rRNA from 1 species
GUCGAACGAGGGUCCUUCGGGACUCGAGUGGCGAACGGGUGAGUAACACGUAGGGAACCUGCCCGUGCGACCGGGAGAACUUUCGGAAACGGAAGCUGAUACCGGAUAGGGACAGAGACGGCAUCGACUCUGUGUUAAAGGAGCUGAAAGGCUCCGCGCACGGAUGGACCUGCGGUGCAUUAGCUGGUUGGUGAGGUAACGGCCCACCAAGGCGACGAUGCAUAGCCGGCCUGAGAGGGCGGACGGCCACACUGGGACUGAGACACGGCCCAGACUCCUACGGGAGGCAGCAGUAGGGAAUUUUCGUCAAUGGGCGCAAGCCUGAACGAGCAAUGCCGCGUGAACGAGGAAGGUCUUCGGAUCGUAAAGUUCUGUUGAAGGGGAAAAAGAGCGGAGAGAGGAAAUGGUCUCCGAUUGAUAUUACCCUUCGAGGAAGUCACGGCUAACUACGUGCCAGCAGCCGCGGUAAUACGUAGGUGGCGAGCGUUAUCCGGAAUGAUUGGGCGUAAAGGGUGCGUAGGCGGCCUGCUAAGUCUGGAGUGAAAGGUACCGGCUCAACCGGUACAGGCUCUGGAAACUGGCGGGCUAGAGAGCAGGAGAGGGCGGUGGAACUCCAUGUGUAGCGGUAAAAUGCGUAGAUAUAUGGAAGAACACCAGUGGCGAAGGCGGCCGCCUGGCCUGUUACUGACGCUGAGGCACGAAAGCGUGGGGAGCAAACAGGAUUAGAUACCCUGGUAGUCCACGCGGUAAACGAUGA